GGAUAUGGAAGAUUGAACAGAUGAAGAUUCAAAUAAAGCAAUGUCCAAUCCAAUCUUUUGAGUGAAUGGGAUUCACUUUUCCCGUAUCUACUUUGAUCAUUUGGAAAAUGAAAAGGUAACCAUCCUUAGGACUUUAUAUAUGGGAGGUCGUAGCACUAAUUCUCCAUCAACCCAAGAACGUUUUGCUGUCUUGAAAUGAAAUAAAAUGGCUAUGAGCAUGUUCAAAAUUUCGUUAUCCUUAGUGCUGAUAAUACUUUCCCUUCCGAGCUCUCGCGCUCAAGCUCCCUACGUCGUGAUCCGAGGGAAGAUAAGUCGUCACGAGCUCACGAGGGCUGGUCCUGGAGUUCCUGAUUUGCAACAUCCUUUCAUCGUCUCCGGUUGGUUUUCUACAAGUUCCAACUUCUACCAUGUCUUUAUUCAAUGUAACGCCCUAGUAGGGUAUUACAAUGUCGAGCUGUCCGCGGAGCUUGUAGGCAUGGCAAUAUAGCUUGUAAAAAGUAGCGGACCAUGUGGCAAUUUUUAUUUUUAUUUUUGUCACUUCUUUGUUUAUGGGCUGUUCAACCUUGACGUUCUCUAUAGGUGAACUUCUUUCAUCUGCUGUUCAACCUUGGCAAUCUUGACACUAAUCAAAUAACAUUCCGUCAUUACCAAAAAGAUUAUUGCCAUCUCAAGCAAGUGUUGUGACCAUUGGAUCAUAAUCAC
rnacentral:lncRNA from 1 species